rnacentral:rRNA from 1 species
AUUGAACGCUGGCGGCAUGCUUUACACAUGCAAGUCGAACGGCAGCGCGGGCUUCGGCCUGGCGGCGAGUGGCGAACGGGUGAGUAAUGCAUCGGAACGUGCCCAGUAGUGGGGGAUAGCCCGGCGAAAGCCGGAUUAAUACCGCAUACGACCUGAGGGUGAAAGCGGGGGACCGAAAGGCCUCGCGCUAUUGGAGCGGCCGAUGUCGGAUUAGCUAGUUGGUGGGGUAAAGGCUUACCAAGGCGACGAUCCGUAGCUGGUCUGAGAGGACGACCAGCCACACUGGGACUGAGACACGUCCCAGACUCCUACGGGAGGCAGCAGUGGGGAAUUUUGGACAAUGGGGGCAACCCUGAUCCAGCCAUGCCGCGUGCGGGAAGAAGGCCUUCGGGUUGUAAACCGCUUUUGUUCGGGAAGAAAUCCUCUGGGCUAAUACCCCGGGGGGAUGACGGUACCGGAAGAAUAAGCACCGGCUAACUACGUG